rnacentral:sRNA from 1 species
GGACGUGAGGGCCAUCUGGCUGCGACCUCUGUCACCCCAUGGGUGGCCAGGGCUGGUUCCGGCUGAUCUGGCUGGCUGGGCGGGUGUCCCCUUCCUCCCUCCCUGUCCCUCCUGAAGUUGCCUGCUUGGUCGAAGAGGUGACCUUCCCCGAUAGAGGACUGUUCUUCAGUCAAGGGUAUGCGAGGAGCUGCGCUCCCCUGCCAGAACCUCCAAACACGCUCCCAGAUCCUGGCUCUCCAGUUGACUGAUCACGUGACUCUGGGCAGGCCACUUAAUUAGCCUAGGCCUCGGUUUUCUCAUCUGUGAAAUGGGAGAUAAAAC